GUACCUGGCACAGAAGCAUGUGAUCAACACAUCUCUCAACCCUCAUCAGAGAAGCCUCUAUUUCCAGCAGAUGAGAUUAACACAGAUACCUACAACAGGCCCAGAGUGGAGAUCUGUCUGCGCUGACAUGGCCCAUUUCCCACUCCUCAUUGCAAGACUAAUGGCACAGAUAUGAUUGAAUUGCUACCAACGGAAGGAAGGCGGCAACGAG